CUCAGUGCUCCCUUUUCCCGAGUGAGAACUGAAGCACAGGGGUUAGACACAGAAUUCCCCAGAUUUCCAUCCCUGACAGCUGUAGUGGCAGAAGACAUAGAGGAUGUUAUGUAAGCAUCCUACAUGAAUCUGGGAGCAUCCCAAAGCCACUGCUAAACCAGCCACCCCAUGCACUUGCCACCCUGCCUGCAGGAGCAGGAUGCUCUUGAUGAAGCCUUUGGAGUUCAGGGUGGGAGACCCAGUGCCAAUGGAUACUAAUGGAUACCAAUGGAAACAAACACAACACAGAGGUCAGAGAGGGAAAUGUGCUGGAGGAAGCUCAGGAUGUGAAUGUGGAUCCCCUGGUUAGCACCCAGAGGGUCGCACUGUGCUGCUCAGUCCAUUCUGUACGAUCAGGCACAAGAGAAGAAACUGCUUUUCCUUUAAGAACAUUCAACUUAUCCUGCCUUUAUCAGCAAUUCCCAAUCUUAAGCCAUUCUGUUUCUUCCAGAAAAAGCAAAGAGAGAAACCUCAACAGAAAAAAGCAAAUUAAAGUCUGAAAAACAAGCAAUUCCAGAUCUUCAGUCGAUUUUAUUUCAGAUCAAAUGAAAAAAGUUGAUUAAUCCCCUUGUUCAGACUGCUAACACUACCAGAACAGACUGCAUCCGUUUCACAUCAGAGGAAGCUCAACGUACUUAAGCCAAACAUCUUCCAGGCAAAGAGAAAAAAUAAAUAUAAAACAGGAAAGAAUCAGUGCUAUAGUAUUUGCAUGUGUCUGAAGAUACAGCUUUGGAACUGCAGAGUGAAGCCAAGCUCUCCAGUAAAAUAAGUGGACAAAGCUCCAUCCUUGGAGUCCAGCACGGCUAUGCCUAUUUAAUCUAUAGGUAAACUGAAAUAUCAGUUUUGAAGAACAUCAGUGUUUCACCUCCCAGCAAGUGACCAGUGCUGUCAGUGUGUACUACAUCCAGAAGGAGCUUCACCUGAGAGCACAGUCCUCACAUCCACUCUUCACCUCUCUCCUCCUUACACCUUCCAUUGAUAAUUCCAUGUAUUCCUGUUGCCACAGCACCUUCCUCAGCUCUGAUCACCACAGGGGCAGGAUGCGGCCUCGCACAGGAUGCACUGAGACUCAUCAUUCCCAGCACAGAUGAAAUUGGGGCUCAUUUCUGUCCUUGCACACUCAUCAAAUACCAUCACGUCGAGGUAGGACACCAGGCACGCUUGAUGGUUGCAGAGUAACUCGACCUACAAAGUCCCAUCGGGGGAUGCCGAGGCCAGCACCCACACUGCUGGACACCGCCUGGAUGCAAGGUGAUGGGAAGGACCCGUCUGCAUCUCCUCCACGGGGAGCACGGUGCAUGCCAGGGACCACUGCCUGAAGGACGCUCCGGGUAGCCCGGACCAGCCCCUGCCCCAAAAGCACCGGUAACAGCCCCGGCAAGGCACAGCUGCCCCUCCAGCCGCAUCCCAGGGCGGCACAGCGGCGGCACCCCGCACGCAGCCCCGCGGGGAGGCGAUGCUCGGGGGGUCCCGCACGGGGGUCGCCGCAGCCGGAGGGGCCCGGGCAGCCGCCGCCCCGUCCCCGUCCCCGGCCGCGCCUUUGUCCGCCCAGCGGAGGAUGGGGCGCAGCCCGGUCCCGCUCCCCGCCGGUGGCCCGGUGACAUCGCCUCGCCGCGGGCCGCUCACCUGCGGGGCCGCUGUCCGCAGCCGCCUCCUCC